AGAAUGAACGUUGGCGGCGUGGAUUAGGCAUGCAAGUCGGACGGGCCGCAAGGCCAGUGGCGCAAGGGUGAGUAAGGCGACGGUAACCAACCCCGCGGGUGGGCAUAGCCGGGGGAAACUCCGGGUAAUUCCCAGCGAUAUGACGACCCGGCAUCGGGAUGUCAUCAAAGAUUUAUCGCCGCGGGACGGGCCGUCGUGGUAUUAGCUUGUUGGCGGGGUGACGGCCCACCAAGGCUGCGAUGCCUACCGGGCGUGCGAGCGUGGCCCGGCACACUGGGACUGAGACACUGCCCAGACUCCUACGGGAGGCUGCAGUCGAGAAUCUUCGGCAAUGGGCGCAAGCCUGACCGAGCGACGCCGCGUGGAGGACGAAGGCCUUCGGGUUGUAAACUCCUGUCGAGGGGGAGGAAGCCGCAAGGUUGACCGAUCCCUGGAGGAGCACGGGCUAAGUCGCGCCAGCAGCCG
rnacentral:rRNA from 1 species